rnacentral:rRNA from 1 species
AGCGAACGCUGGCGGCAGGCCUAACACAUGCAAGUCGAACGAACCUUUCGGGGUUAGUGGCGGACGGGUGAGUAACACGUGGGAACGUGCCUUUAGGUUCGGAAUAACUGAGGGAAACUUGUGCUAAUACCGAAUGUGCCCUUCGGGGGAAAGAUUUAUCGCCUUUAGAGCGGCCCGCGUCUGAUUAGCUAGUUGGUUGAGGUAAUGGCUCACCAAGGCGACGAUCAGUAGCUGGUCUGAGAGGAUGAUCAGCCACAUUGGGACUGAGACACGGCCCAAACUCCUACGGGAGGCAGCAGUGGGGAAUCUUGCGCAAUGGGCGAAAGCCUGACGCAGCCAUGCCGCGUGAAUGAUGAAGGUCUUAGGAUUGUAAAAUUCUUUCACCGGGGACGAUAAUGACGGUACCCGGAGAAGAAGCCCCGGCUAACUUCGUG